rnacentral:ribozyme from 13 species
AAAGGAAAAAAAAAAAAAAAAAAAAAAAAAAAAAAAAAAAAAAAAAA